UACGUAGGGUGCAAGCGUUAAUCGGAAUUACUGGGCGUAAAGCGUGCGCAGGCGGUUUUUCAAGACAGAUGUGAAAUCCCCGGGCUUAACCUGGGAAUGGCAUUUGUGACUGGAAGGCUAGAGUGUGUCAGAGGGGGGUAGAAUUCCACGUGUAGCAGUGAAAUGCGUAGAGAUGUAGAGGAAUACCGAUGGCGAAGGCAGCCCCCUGGGAUAACACUGACGCUCAUGCACGAAAGCGUGGGGAGCAAACAGG
rnacentral:rRNA from 1 species